AUGAUCUUAUUACUUUUUAUCAUUAUUAUGCACUUGGCUCACAUCUGUGGCCAGUCCAGUGGCUGCCCAUCAGGCACGCUCUCCAUGGCCUCAUCAUCACCAGCAGGACACUCACGUGGCUGGCAUGCGCGGUUCCUGAUCACAUGGCCCACUUUUGAAGUCUCCCGUCAGGGUCAGCUCCAGGGUAGCAGUAUGAUCACAUCCUAUUCUGCGGGAAGGUCUUUGAGCACAAUGGCAUUCCCACCGGAGUCCCAUCAAAGGAGUCUUGGUUCCUGAGAACAUAGGUGAGUUGUUCCUAAAGUGCGGUUCCCAGUCCCGCAGCCUCCGCGUCACCUGGGCAUGUGUUAGAAAUGCAGAUUCUCAGGCCCACCACGACCAACUGAAUUAGGAACUCUGUAGUGGGCCCCAGCAACUGUGUCUUCUUAUGCCCUUCAGGGGAUUUUGUGGGUGCCACUUCCGGCCUUGGACCCAUCCCAGGCAUCUCCGUGGUUACAGAGGCA
rnacentral:lncRNA from 1 species